UGGCAUACCUGUAAAGCACUCAGCUGCUAACUGAAAGGUCGGUGGUUCAAACCCACC
rnacentral:tRNA from 1 species